rnacentral:lncRNA from 1 species
ACAUGAAUUGGCCACCAAGAUCGUGUGAUUUGACCCCAUUAGACUUUUUCUUGUGGGGUUUCCUGAAGUCGCAGGUCUAUGCCGAUAAGCCGAAAUCGACAGAUGACCUUAAAGUGAACAUAACCCAGGCCAUCGCUCAAAUUCAACCGGAUCUAUGCGGCAGAGUCAUUGAAAAUUGGACCACUCGGAUUCGUGCCACUGUGAGAAGCCGUGGCGGACAUUUAAACGAUAUUAUAUUUAAAACAUAAUUGGCAUACUUAGAACUUUAAAAUAAAAAAAAAAUUUCACUAAUACCUCGCACAUAGCUUGUUUUAUUUCAUUUCAACAUCGACCCGCUCUUAUUGAAAAACCC